rnacentral:rRNA from 1 species
CACGGGGGGAGCAAGCGUUGUUCGGAAUCACUGGGCGUAAAGGGCGUGUAGGCGGUUCGGUAAGUGGAAUGUGAAAUCCCUCGGCUUAACCGGGGAACUGCGUCUGAUACUGGAUGGCUUGAGUUCGGGAGAGGGAUGCGGAAUUCCAGGUGUAGCGGUGAAAUGCGUAGAUAUCUGGAGGAACACCGGUGGCGAAGGCGGCAUCCUGGACCGAUACUGACGCUGAGGAGCGAAAGCCAGGGGAGCAAACGGG